UCUUAUGGAUGAGAAAAGGAAAGGGUUUCUUGAGAUGGAAUCUACUGGUGAAGAUGCUGUGAA
rnacentral:pre_miRNA from 1 species